UACGUAAGGGGCGAGCGUUGCUCGGAAUUACUGGGCGUAAAGGGCGCGUAGGCGGUUUUGUAAGUCAAAUGUCAAAGGCCACAGCUCAACUGUGGCAAGGCAUUUGAAACUGCGAAGCUAGAGUAUAGUGGAAGGCGAUGGAAUUCCCGGUGUAGCGGUGAAAUGCGUAGAUAUCGGAAGGAACACCGAAGGCGAAGGCAGUCGUCUAUGCUAAUACUGACGCUGAGGCGCGAAAGCAUGGGGAUCAAACAGG
rnacentral:rRNA from 1 species